rnacentral:rRNA from 1 species
CACUUUAGUACCAAGCAAUUCUAUACCCCUAUAGAAUCUUUUAUGUUAAAACUAGUAACAAGAAGUACCCCUUCUCUCUAAUGCAAGUAUAAAUCAGCAAGGACCUACCACUGAUAGUUAUCAUCCAUGAGCUGACAGUAGAAACACCUCAAGAAAACCCUACUACACUCUAUGUUAACCUAACACAAGAGCAUUUCAAGAAAGAUUAAAAGAAAAAGAAGGAACUCGGCAAACAUUAACCCCGCCUGUUUACCAAAAACAUCGCCUCUUGAUAAACCUAUAAGAGGUCCAGCCUGCCCAGUGACUCUGUUCAACGGCCGCGGUAUCCUAACCGUGCAAAGGUAGCGUAAUCACUUGUUCUUUAAAUGAGGACUAGUAUGAAUGGCAUCACGAAGGUUAUGCUGUCUCCUUUUUCUAAUCAGUGAAACUAAUCUUCCCGUGAAGAAGCGGGAAUAAUGAUAUAAGACGAGAAGACCCUAUGGAGCUUUAAACAAAUAUACAAUUGCCCACUUAAUUAAAAAUUUCAGAAGACAAGCACUUACUCAGGCACUUUGAUAUAAAGUUUUAGGUUGGGGUGACCGCGGAGCAAAAAACAACCUCCGCAGUGAAAGGGGAGAUCCCCCUAAACUAAGGGCUACUACCCUAAGUAUCAACAAACUGACACCAGUUGACCCAAUACACUUGAUCAACGAACCAAGUUACCCUAGGGGUAACAGCGCAAUCCACUUCAAGAGCUCCUAUCGCAAGUGGGUUUACGGCCUCGUGUUGGUCAGGGGUAUCCUAGUGGUGCAGCCGUACUACGGUUCGUUGUUCACGUU